rnacentral:rRNA from 1 species
UACGUAGGGUGCAAGCGUUAUCCGGAAUUAUUGGGCGUAAAGGGCUCGUAGGCGGUUUGUCGCGUCGGGAGUGAAAACUCAGGGCUUAACCCUGAGCCUGCUUCCGAUACGGGCAGACUAGAGGUAUGCAGGGGAGAAUGGAAUUCCUGGUGUAGCGGUGAAAUGCGCAGAUAUCAGGAGGAACACCGGUGGCGAAGGCGGUUCUCUGGGCAUUACCUGACGCUGAGGAGCGAAGGUGUGGGGAGCGAACAGG